AACGCAUCUUUCGUGGCGCAUUUCCUGCCGGGUCUGACUUUGGCUGCGUGUCCUGCCCCCGCUAGGUGAAGCGUAACCUGCUGAACUUCUCCUACCGCAUCGCGCAGUACAUGGAGGUCAUCUCCGACCUGCCCAGGGAGAUCGAGCACCUUAAAUCAAAAAUUGGGAAGCGAGAAAAGGAGAAGAAAAGUGAAGCCAGCAUCCGGGACGCCCGAGUCCCAAUGCUGUCCCAUGACACAGAGGAGGACAGCCACGUACAGAUGAACAAGAUCUGGGCACAGCUCAUCGGGGCCUUCAAGGAGCAGAUGGAGAUGCGACGCAGCCUGGUGGAGCUGAAGAACACCAACAUUGAGCUGCACACGGACGUGUCCCGCCACCUGCUGUCCAUUGCAGAGCUGGGCUGGAGCACGCGAAGAGGAAGACGUCACAGAUGGAGAGGCUGCUGCCCAGGCGGGUCACCAGCGAGGACCAGCAGCAGGUGCUGCGGCUGCUGUGCAGGGCGCACGAGCUGGAGGUGGAGAACACGGAGCUGCAGGCCUACAACCUGUGCCGCAAGAACUGGCUGUGCCAGAAGGACUUUGUGAUCCAGUGCUACCACCAGCACUGGCUGCUGUGCGAGCAGCUGAUCCAGGAGGAGCGGCAGCUGAUCCAGGGUAAGGCCCGCCCGGCUGGGGACGCUGGGCUACCGCAUCGUUUAUUUCUGGGAAGAGCAGGCUGUGCAUGCAGCUAAAAAAAAAAAAAAAAAAAAAAAUUCAGAACCGGGCGUGGUGGCUCACGCCUGUAAUCCCAGCGCUUUGGGAGGCUGAGGCAGGUGGAUCACCUGAGGUCGGGAGUUCGAGAUCAGCCUGAUCAACAUGGUGAAACCUCAUCUCUACUAAAAAAAAAAAAGAAAAAUACAAAAAAGUUAGCUGGGUGUGGUGGCGGGCGCCUGUAGUUCCAGCUACUCAGGAGGCUGAGACAGGAGAAUUGCUUGAAUCUAGGAGGCAGAGGUUGCAGUGACCCAAGAUUGUACCACUGUACUCCAGCCUGGGUGACCAUCUCAAAAAAAAAAAAAAAAAGAAAGAAAGAAAAAGAAUGAAACUUUCUAGGCCGGGCGCGGUGGCUCAAGCCUGUAAUCCCAGCACUUUGGGAGGCCGAGACGGGCGGAUCACGAGGUCAGGAGAUCGAGACCAUCCUGGCUAACACCGUGAAACCCCGUCUCUACUAAAAAAUACAAAAAAGUAGCCGAGUGAGGUGGCGGGCGCCUGUAGUCCCAGCUACUCGGGAGGCUGAGGCAGGAGAAUGGCGUAAACCUGGGAGGCGGAGCUUGCAGUGAGCUGAGAUCCUGCCACUGCACCCCAGCCUGGGCGGCAGAGCAAGACUCCGUCUCAAAAAAAAAAAAAAAAAAAAAAAAAAAAAAAAAAAAAACUCUUUGGAUCACAUCAGUGCUGACAUCAAAGCCUUCAGCCAACCUGGGAACUGGUCAGGACUCUGGAAAUUCCUCAUAUAAAUAUCGGAUCUGCUCCACGGCUUCCCAGGAUUCUGGGUGGGGCACCAGGUGCCUCCAUUUGCCUCUGAAUUUUCUGGAAUCAGAUUGUUUUUUUCUGUCGUUUCAGGGUGCCGGGGCAGAAGCCAUGCAUGGAAGCAGAAUGGAUGUUUGAAGAGCCUCAGGUUAAAUCAUGGAGGGCCCAGCCCUCUUCUCUUUGAUGGCAAGGGCAACCUGUCCUUAUUGCCAGCUUAGAGCUGCUCUGUACACCCAGAAAGCUAACACCUAGAACUCUCCUAAGCAUGCCAAACUCUCUAAACUGAUGAUGAAAUACGUCACUAGUGAAGGGACCAGUGGUCCCAGGGGAUCUGAAUACCUGACGCUGUGCCCCUGACAACGGGUAAGAAGGAAUAACAGCGGCAGGAUGCCCAGCACCAAGGGGGCAUGGCCUGGGGUGCCAGGGCAUGAGGCCCUGCUUCAAGCUGAGGGCCCAGGGAGAACCUCUCCACCUCCUACAGCUCCCAUUCCAACGGCUCCCAGUCAGAAUGGGGGUCUGGCUCCCAGCCGAUAGGGCCUAAGCCCGCCACCCCCUGGGUCGUGAACCCACAGCAAGUGAAGGCAGCGUGAACACACCUGCCCAGCAAGAGACUCAGGGUAACUGCAUGUCAAUGCAAACCAGCCUUCAGCAGUCUGCUACCCUUUUUUGAUUUUUUGUUUUUGUGUUUGAGACAGAGUCUCCCUCUGUUGCCCAGGCUGGAGUGCAAUCUCAGCUCACUGCAGCC
ensembl:lncRNA